rnacentral:rRNA from 1 species
UGCCCUUUUGUGGUAAACAGCCGCUGUAUUUUGACGGUGCUAAGGUAGCGAAAUUCCUAGCCUUUUAAUUGGAGGCCUGCAUGAAUGGCUUGACGAGCGCCUGACUGUCUCUCUCCCGCAUGUAGUGAAAUUAGCUUUUGUGUGCAAAGACACAAAUAAUUGAGUAAGACGAAAAGACCCUGUGCAACUUUACUAAGAAAAGAGGGGUUACCUAUUUGUAGUUUAGCUGGGGCAGCUUAGGAAAAGAUAAAACUUCCUUGAAUUUAACAUACUGGUAGGUUUGGAUCCGAUGUAGUUAUUGUGUAGAUCGAGUAGCAGAAAAGUUACGCCAGGGAUAACAGCGUUAUCCUUCUGUGGAGGUCUUAUCUGCAGGGGGGAUUGCGACCUCG